CCUACGGGUGGCAGCAGUAGGGAAUUUUCCACAAUGGGCGCAAGCCUGAAGCAGCAAUGCCGCGUGUAUGAGGAAGGUCUUCGGAUCGUAAAGUACUGUCGGAGGGGAAAAAGGGCGUAGAGAUGAAACCGUCGCUCAUUGACAUUACCCGCCGAGGAAGCCACGGCUAACUACGUGCCAGCAGCCGCGGUAAUACGUAGGGGGCGAGCGUUAACCGGAAUUAUUGGGCGUAAAGGGCACGUAGGCGGUCUGUAAAGUCAGGGGUGAAAAGUAGGGGCUCAACCGGGAUAGGGUGUGGAAACUGGCAAGCUUGAGUGGCGGAGAGGGCGGUAGAAUUCCAGGUGUAGUGGUGAAAUGCGUAGAGAUCUGGAGGAACACCAGUGGCGAAGGCGGCCGCCUGGCCGAAGACUGACGCUGAGGCGCGAAAGCGUGGGGAGCAAAUAGGAUUAGAUACCCGUGUAGUC
rnacentral:rRNA from 1 species